rnacentral:lncRNA from 1 species
GGGGCACCUAAAUCAAUCGAACUAAUUUUCUAGUAAGCAUAGAUCAACCUUAAUCAUUAAGUGAUUUGAUCAAAACUUGAUUCACCAUAUUGGCCAGGUAAGUGAGAGCGGUGGGAGGGAUAUACCAUUAACUCAUCAUAGACUCAAUCUAUGUGAGUAGCUCCUAAUUAAAAAUCACUAAUCAAGAUUGUUAAACUUACUUUAGACACUAACUGGUUAAUCAGUUUCAACUGGAUCAACUUAUGAAUUUGGGUUCGACCACUGAGUUUGAGAUUAAAGUUCAUUUGGCUCU